rnacentral:rRNA from 1 species
GGAGGGUGCAAGCGUUGUUCGGAAUUACUGGGCGUAAAGAGCGUGUAGGCGGCCAACCAAGUCAGAUGUGAAAUCCCUGGGCUCAACCCAGGAACUGCAUCUGAAACUGGCUGGCUAGAGUACGGGAGAGGAAGGUGGAAUUCCUGGUGUAGAGGUGAAAUUCGUAGAUAUCGGGAAGAACACCGGUGGCGAAGGCGGCCUUCUGGCCCGAUACUGACGCUGAGACGCGAAAGCGUGGGGAGCAAACAGGGAUUAGAUACCCUGGUAGUCCACGCCGUAAACGUUGGGCACUAGGUGUGGGAGGUAUUACUCCUUCCGUGCCCGAAGCUAACGCAUUAAGUGCCCCGCCUGGGGGAGUACGGUCGCAAGGCUA